rnacentral:rRNA from 1 species
GCAAGUCGAACGGUAACAGGGAGCUUGCUCCGCUGACGAGUGGCGAACGGGCUGAGUAAUAUAUCGGAACGUACCCAGAAGUGGGGGAUAACGUAGCGAAAGUUACGCUAAUACCGCAUACGAUCUACGGAUGAAAGUAGGGGACCUUCGGGCCUUAUGCUUUUGGAGCGGCCGAUAUCUGAUUAGCUAGUUGGUGAGGUAAAGGCUCACCAAGGCGACGAUCAGUAGCUGGUCUGAGAGGACGACCAGCCACACUGGAACUGAGACACGGUCCAGACUCCUACGGGAGGCAGCAGUGGGGAAUUUUGGACAAUGGGCGCAAGCCUGAUCCAGCAAUGCCGCGUGAGUGAAGAAGGCCUUCGGGUUGUAAAGCUCUUUUGUCAGGGAAGAAACGGCUGUGGCUAAUAUCCAUGGCUAAUGACGGUACCUGAAGAAUAAGCACCGGCUAACUACGUGCCAGCAGCCGCGGUAAUACGUAGGGUGCAAGCGUUAAUCGGAAUUACUGGGCGUAAAGCGUGCGCAGGCGGUUUUGUAAGUCUGACGUGAAAUCCCCGGGCUCAACCUGGGAAUUGCGUUGGAGACUGCAAGGCUAGAAUCUGGCAGAGGGGGGUAGAAUUCCACGUGUAGCAGUGAAAUGCGUAGAGAUGUGGAGGAACACCGAUGGCGAAGGCAGCCCCCUGGGUCAAGAUUGACGCUCAUGCACGAAGGCGUGGGGAGCAAACAGGAUUAGAUACCCUGGUAGUCCACGCCCUAAACGAUGUCUACUAGUUGUCGGGUUUUAAUUAACUUGGUAACGCAGCUAACGCGUGAAGUAGACCGCCUGGGGAGUACGGUCGCAAGAUUAAAACUC